AUCUUUUCGCUUGAGGCAAUGACACAGCUAUUGAGGUAAUAUCCUAGGCGCCGCAAUUUGCUGGUUGAAAACUAUUUCUAAACCGCCUCCUCGGCCUUAAGUCUCGUAGGCCGUCAAUUUCUGGAAGGGCUUCCUCUUAUCAAAGGGUAAAGCA